GCCAGCAGUGGGCGAGUGAAGGAAGGACUUUGCUGUCAACUCCUUCGAGGACACGCAGGAAGCUCCUAGGGCCGCCCUGCACAGCUCACAGCCAGGCCGCCAGGCUCGGGAGGGGAACGGCGUCUCCACUCAGCCGAAGAGGAGCCUGAGGUUCUGGGAGAAGCUGACCUGGGGGUCCUCCACCCACGGGUGGGAGCAGAGCUGUCUCCUAGGGCUGCUGCGGCCUGCGAACGGCCACCAGCUGCGUGUCCACAAGAGCCACAGUUUAUUCCGCAAAGUUCCGGAGGCCAGAAGCUGAAGUCAAAUUGGCAGCGUCCGUUGUUCUUCUGAAGCCCCCCCUUGUCUCUUCCCAGUUCCUGGUGGCUCCGGUCACAUGGCCUUCUCCCUGGGAGGCAGCGUCUCCUGUCCAACUUCUCCCCCGUGCAGGUGCCCCGGGGUCGCCCGUCAUCCAGGGUGACCCCAUCUUAACCUGCUCACAUUUGCAAAGACACCGUUUCCAAAUGAGGCCACACUCAUGGCUGAGGGUUAGGACUUGUGUGUACUUUGGGGGACGGUUCAGCCCAGUAACAGGCAGGGUGGGGACAGGAGCCGGCGGCUGCUGGGUGCUCCGGGGGGUCCCCUGGGACCCUGGGUCCUCGUCACUUCAGAAGCCUGCUCUCUCUGCCACCCCACAGCCCUCCCACAGAAAUGCAGGUGUGACCAGCGCUGGGACAUGGGAGGGAGCCACUCUGCUGCGACCGGGAAGGGAAAUGAGCCAUUUCCUGGAUGUGCCUUUCCCCCAAGUCCCCAGAGGCCACCUCUGUCACCUCUGUCCAGCGCCUGGUGCACCCAUUGAGACCCACUUACUCAUCCAUGCCACAGGUGUUGAGUCUCUAGGCGGUGCCACCCACCGGGCAGCUCCCAGGCCACUGAGGGGCCAGGCACACUCCCACCCCGAGGAGCACAGAGCCCGGGGACAGAUGCAGGUGGCCCUGCCUCCACACUGGACACGGAGGGCAGGGGACCCAGCAAAACCUGGGGACGUUCUGUGGUUGCUCUGAGGGACAGAUCAGGAAGAAGACCUGGAGGGAGGCCACCUUCUGCAUCUGCACCUUCUCCAUCUCCAUGGUCCCUGAGGGCCCUGAGGCCCCAUUAACCAGCCCGUUGCUCUCCCGUCUCUGUGUCCCUUCCCCAUCCCACGCCACCACUUGGGGGUCUUGGCUCGGGCCUCUGUCUGACCAGGCUGCUGAUCGGGGGAUAGAGGUUGGAGAGGUGCUGACGCAAUCCUCCAGGGGACCCAGAAUGAAACUCUGCCUGUGUCCCUCAGCCUGACCUCAGAGAGGGGUGGGGCCUGCCCAAGGUCACACAGCAAGGCCGAGGCAGGGUUAGGACUGGAACCCAAGCGACCUGAUUCCCA
rnacentral:lncRNA from 1 species